rnacentral:lncRNA from 1 species
GUUCUGGUUGUAUUUAUUUGUUGUUUUUAACUGCAUUCUUUCGGUUAUAAAUGACGUUGUUCCAUAUUGAAGAAUGCUGUUUAUUAUAUUAGGACCAAUGCAAAAUGCCAAAACAUUAAACAAGUUCACAUGAAGGCACUCAAAAGAAGAACCGUUUUCUGAUAUUAUAUAUGAAUCAGUCAAAGCAGUGAAACACAAACGUACUAAUUGUUUUUUUGGCUUCUACCGAAACCUAUCUCUUUCGACAAAAACUUCAGCAUUUUAUCAUGUGUGUGGUUAUCUUGGUCAAAACUGUCCUUUUGGACGCUGUUAUCACAAACAAUCAAAACAGCCAAUGCCAAGUAAAAUUGAUUUAUUGGAUCUUUAAAAUUUUUAAUUUCAGUCUUAAUGUAUUCAACAGGUUUCGUGAAAUAUUCAACAACAUGUAACUGCUCGUUAUUCAUGUUAUUAGAGAAUAUUGCACAAAGCGCGGGAAAGAAAUUGUAGAACGAAACGACAUUUUCUUUCACGUGAUCAAAAGUAUCUUCCCUUAAAUAGCAUAUUCCUAUAUUUUCUAUCUCCUUUGGUGUAAAUGUUAAUUCUUGUGAGAUAAGAUUUAGGGAACAAGCUUUAACAUUCAUGUGUUUUAAAUUUACUAAUCGGUAAAUGUGUAAUCGCGACGUCAUUAGAAGUCUUAAACUUCUAUUUCUUGUCAGGAGAUGUUGAACAGAUUUACCCUGACGCUCCCACCAAAUAGUAUCGUAUUCACUAACGGAAUACUUUCCAAAAACAUCAUCUAUUAGAAAAAGCUGUUUUUGUCCUUUGAUGCAUACCUUAAUAGAUCAUCGGGAUCAGUUAUGAUCAUGACAUCGAAUCCUUGUGUUUUUUCAAGUUUCAUUGCAGUAUGAAAUACUAAAGAAGAUUUUCCGCAUCCAUGUGGUCCACAAAUUAUUAAGCACUGUUCUUCUUUUAUUUUGUUUAUUAUCGCUCUGUGAGCUGUUGUUUCCACAAAAUGAUUAUAUUGUCCGUUCCAUUGUUUUUUCUCAUGUU